CCAGGCUAAUGAAGAACACCCCUGUUGCCUCCCUCUUUUUGCUCUGCAGUAAUGCUGGAUUGUCCCCUUGAACACCCAACCUGCCAAGCGUCUGUCUUGCCACUGACAGGAGGGAGGCACCAGGCCGUCUGGAAAGGGACAGUGCAGUCCUAUGACAACAGGGGGUGGAACUAUGGGACUAAACAUGUGGUGGCAGAGGACUAAGUCUGAGGGAAAACAACAAGGGACCUGUGAAGAAAACACCAUUUUCACACACUACAUUGCUUGUCAUUGUCCGAUUUGAUCUAGUUGCCCCCUGGGUGGCACCUUCACAGUACUUGACGUUUACAGCAUUUCCAGAGGAAACGCCACCAUGGAAACAUCAACCAGUCAUCAUGCCUAAGGCGUACAGUAUAAUGCAGCUUGGAGAGAGGGUCAUGUACUAUUUCUCACAGUUUUAAUACUGCAACUAUUCAGUUAUU